AAAUAGUGUAGUUUUAUAUUGUUUAUGUCCAAUAUUUGACCAUUUAUUUUAUUAGAAAUUUUUUAUAAUAAAUAUUUUUUAUUACAUGAUAAAAUAUGAAUAGUACUUUAUGUGUGACUAUUUUUUAAUAAUAAAAAUAUAUAUUUUUUUAAAUAAGACGGACUGUCAGGUUAGACACGAUAUAUACGGUUGCACUUGUA
rnacentral:pre_miRNA from 1 species